UACGUAGGGUCCGAGCGUUGUCCGGAAUUAUUGGGCGUAAAGGGCUCGUAGGCGGUUCGUCACGUCGGGAGUGAAAACUCGGGGCUUAACCCCGAGCCUGCUUCCGAUACGGGCAGACUAGAGGUAGGCAGGGGAGAGCGGAACUCCUGGUGUAGCGGUGGAAUGCGCAGAUAUCAGGAAGAACACCAACGGCGAAGGCAGCUCGCUGGGACGGAACUGACGCUAAGGCGCGAAAGCGUGGGGAGCGAACAGG
rnacentral:rRNA from 1 species